rnacentral:rRNA from 1 species
UACGAAGGGGGCUAGCGUUGCUCGGAAUCACUGGGCGUAAAGCGCACGUAGGCGGCUUUCUAAGUCAGGGGUGAAAUCCUGGAGCUCAACUCCAGAACUGCCUUUGAUACUGGGAAGCUCGAGUCCGGAAGAGGUGAGUGGAACUCCGAGUGUAGAGGUGAAAUUCGUAGAUAUUCGGAAGAACACCAGUGGCGAAGGCGGCUCGCUGGUCCGGUACUGACGCUGAGGUGCGAAAGCGUGGGGAGCAAACAGG